AGAGUUGAUCCUGGCUCAGGAUGAACGCUGGCGGCGUGCCUAACACAUGCAAGUCGAACGGGUUAAGAGAAAUUUCGGAUGGACCUUAACUAGUGGCGGACGGGUGAGUAACGCGUGGAUAACCUGCCUCACACUGGGGGAUAGCAGCUGGAAACGGCUGGUAAUACCGCAUAAGACCACAGCACCGCAUGGUGCAGGGGUAAAAGAUUUAUCGGUGUGAGAUGGAUCCGCGUCUGAUUAGCCAGUUGGCGGGGUAACGGCCCACCAAAGCGACGAUCAGUAGCCGGCCUGAGAGGGUGAACGGCCACAUUGGGACUGAGACACGGCCCAAACUCCUACGGGAGGCAGCAGUGGGGAAUAUUGCACAAUGGGCGCAAGCCUGAUGCAGCAACGCCGCGUGAGUGAAGAAGUAUUUCGGUAUGUAAAGCUCUAUCGGCAGGGAAGAAAGGCCCUUAACAGGGAGAUGACGGUACCUGACUAAGAAGCCCCGGCUAACUACGUGCCAGCCGCUGC
rnacentral:rRNA from 1 species